GAUGAACGCUGGCGGCGUGCCUAAUACAUGCAAGUCGAGCGAACGGACGAGAAGCUUGCUUCUCUGAUGUUAGCGGCGGACGGGUGAGUAACACGUGGAUAACCUACCUAUAAGACUGGGAUAACUUCGGGAAACCGGAGCUAAUACCGGAUAAUAUUUUGAACCGCAUGGUUCAAAAGUGAAAGACGGUCUUGCUGUCACUUAUAGAUGGAUCCGCGCUGCAUUAGCUAGUUGGUAAGGUAACGGCUUACCAAGGCAACGAUGCAUAGCCGACCUGAGAGGGUGAUCGGCCACACUGGAACUGAGACACGGUCCAGACUCCUACGGGAGGCAGCAGUAGGGAAUCUUCCGCAAUGGGCGAAAGCCUGACGGAGCAACGCCGCGUGAGUGAUGAAGGUCUUCGGAUCGUAAAACUCUGUUAUUAGGGAAGAACAUAUGUGUAAGUAACUGUGCACAUCUUGACGGUACCUAAUCAGAAAGCCACGGCUAACUACGUGCCAGCAGCCGCGGUAAUACGUAGGUGGCAAGCGUUAUCCGGAAUUAUUGGGCGUAAAGCGCGCGUAGGCGGUUUUUUAAGUCUGAUGUGAAAGCCCACGGCUCAACCGUGGAGGGUCAUUGGAAACUGGAAAACUUGAGUGCAGAAGAGGAAAGUGGAAUUCCAUGUGUAGCGGUGAAAUGCGCAGAGAUAUGGAGGAACACCAGUGGCGAAGGCGACUUUCUGGUCUGUAACUGACGCUGAUGUGCGAAAGCGUGGGGAUCAAACAGGAUUAGAUACCCUGGUAGUCCACGCCGUAAACGAUGAGUGCUAAGUGUUAGGGGGUUUCCGCCCCUUAGUGCUGCAGCUAACGCAUUAAGCACUCCGCCUGGGGAGUACGACCGCAAGGUUGAAACUCAAAGGAAUUGACGGGGACCCGCACAAGCGGUGGAGCAUGUGGUUUAAUUCGAAGCAACGCGAAGAACCUUACCAAAUCUUGACAUCCUUUGACAACUCUAGAGAUAGAGCCUUCCCCUUCGGGGGACAGAGUGACAGGUGGUGCAUGGUUGUCGUCAGCUCGUGUCGUGAGAUGUUGGGUUAAGUCCCGCAACGAGCGCAACCCUUAAGCUUAGUUGCCAUCAUUAAGUUGGGCACUCUAAGUUGACUGCCGGUGACAAACCGGAGGAAGGUGGGGAUGACGUCAAAUCAUCAUGCCCCUUAUGAUUUGGGCUACACACGUGCUACAAUGGACAAUACAAAGGGCAGCGAAACCGCGAGGUCAAGCAAAUCCCAUAAAGUUGUUCUCAGUUCGGAUUGUAGUCUGCAACUCGACUACAUGAAGCUGGAAUCGCUAGUAAUCGUAGAUCAGCAUGCUACGGUGAAUACGUUCCCGGGUCU
rnacentral:rRNA from 1 species